UACGUAGGGAGCAAGCGUUGUCCGGAAUCAUUGGGCGUAAAGCGCGCGUAGGUGGCCUCAUAAGUCCGCUGUGAAAGUCAAAGGCUCAACCUUUGAAAGCCGGUGGAUACUGUGGGGCUAGAGUACGGAAGAGGCGAGUGGAAUUCCUGGUGUAGCGGUGGAAUGCGCAGAUAUCAGGAAGAACACCCGUGGCGAAAGCGGCUCUCUGGAACGGUACUGACGCUGAGACGCGAAAGCGUGGGGAGCGAACAGG
rnacentral:rRNA from 1 species